AAAGGCGGCCGGGGCCCCGCAGCGAAGGCGGCUGAGGUGACGCUGGAGACAGACUCCCCGCGCUCAAGGCGCGCCACGGGCCCGGCUGUCCCCUCGCCCCCUGCUCGCCUUGGCAUCACUCUUCCCGGGGGCCCGGGCCGCGCCUCCUCCCACCACACUUCUACUCACUCGCUGCGCACUCUGCCGCGGAGGCUGCAGCUCCUUGGCGGACUCCGCAGCGGCCGCCCGCUUUGCGCCCACGCCGGCCAGCGGCGGGCUCCCUUUGUUAGUGCGGGGCACUGCCCCAGCGUCUUCUCCAGCCCGGCCCUGCCCAGGCCUCCCGCCCCCAGGUGCCUGCUGACUCCGCGCGGGGCGCGGGCAGGAGAAGCCAGGAGCUGGGAGCCCCACGCGGGAGUCCGGGGACUUUCUAUAAAGAACUGAAUUCCAUCCCAACAACAACAACAAAAAAGGUUUUCCAGUCCUCCCCACAGCUCUCUGUCAAAAGAACUGCAAUCAAACAAGGGAGAAAACAAGGAAAAUGCUCAGUCAAUAUUCUUGGCUUUCAGGAUUGAGAUAACCACAGACAAUAUGCCAAGCCCAAGCAGUUCUUGGAGUUCAGAGACAGAGGAGCCGGCAAGCAAGGCUACCCUGGAAGAAUUCCAAGGUGGGAGCCGCUGUGGAACUGUUCUUGGGUGCGUGGGAGAGGGGCGAUAAGGGGUCCAUCAAGGCU
rnacentral:lncRNA from 1 species